UAACUUUAACCUUAAUCAUAUAUGAUAAUAAUCUAAUUUUUUUAUAUGAUGAUCGACGAGAUUCUUGCAGACACUGAUGAAGAUGACUACGAGGGAUAAAUAACAUUUGGAUUGGGAACAGAUGAGUGAAUAAAAUAUUCAAGUUUAAUUCUAUAAUCAGAAAAUUGUACUAAUUUUGAGUUAUAAUUCUUUAUUUGCAGUUCCAUAUACGGAAGAACAACAUUGUUUGUUAUUCAAAUUAGGAUUAAGUAUUAUCAAUUGAUGUUAGAGUUUUAAGUAUUUAUUUAUAUUUUUUAUAUUUUAUUGUCAUUUUUUUUAAUCAUAUGUUUACUUAUUAAAAAAGAAUUGUUGUUCGUAUUAUUUUUUAUUGGAUUUAAAUUGUAACACCCUUAAUUUACCCCUUUAUUUUAUUUUCGAAAAAGUUAAUUUCAUUUAUUUAAUAAGGAUUUUACACUUACUCCAGUUAACUAAUUCCUCAAAUGAUUAAAAAUCAUGCAGCGGAAAAUACAAAAAUAAUAUAAGUUUCAAAGUCCGAAUUGAAAAUACUGAAUCAAGUGACAUAGCUCAAUUGUUAUAAAAAUUUAACAACAUAAUUAAAUAAAAGUUUCUCCCAACAACAUCCUAACAGAGCGACUCUAAAUAAAUAGCAAAGCAAUAGCUAUCCGAACACACCAUCUAUGAUUCGUCUCCUACCU
rnacentral:lncRNA from 1 species